GCUACACAUGCAGUCGAGGGGUAACAGAGAAAAGCUUGCUUUUUUGCUGACGACCGGCGCACGGGUGCGUAACGCGUAUGCAAUCUACCUUUUGCUAAGGGAUAGCCCAGAGAAAUUUGGAUUAAUACCUUAUAGUAUGAUGACUUGGCAUCAAGAUAUCAUUAAAGGUUACGGCAAAAGAUGAGCAUGCGUUCUAUUAGCUAGUUGGUGUGGUAACGGCAUACCAAGGCAACGAUAGAUAGGGGUCCUGAGAGGGAGAUCCCCCACACUGGUACUGAGACACGGACCAGACUCCUACGGGAGGCAGCAGUGAGGAAUAUUGGACAAUGGAGGCAACUCUGAUCCAGCCAUGCCGCGUGCAGGAAGACUGCCCUAUGGGUUGUAAACUGCUUUUAUACAGGAAGAAACACCUCUACGUGUAGAGAUUUGACGGUACUGUAAGAAUAAGGAUCGGCUAACUCCGUGCCAGCAGCCGCGGUAAUACGGAGGAUCCAAGCGUUAUCCGGAAUCAUUGGGUUUAAAGGGUCCGUAGGUGGAUAAUUAAGUCAGAGGUGAAAUCCUGCAGCUUAACUGUAGAAUUGCCUUUGAUACUGGUUGUCUUGAGUUAUUAUGAAGUGGUUAGAAUAUGUAGUGUAGCGGUGAAAUGCAUAGAUAUUACAUAGAAUACCAAUUGCGAAGGCAGAUCACUAAUAAUAUACUGACACUGAUGGACGAAAGCGUGGGGAGCGAACAGGAUUAGAUACCCUGGUAGUCCACGCCGUAAACGAUGGUCACUAGCUGU
rnacentral:rRNA from 1 species